rnacentral:rRNA from 1 species
GCGUUAAUCGGAAUUACUGGGCGUAAAGCGUGCGCAGGCGGUUGUACAAGACAGAUGUGAAAUCCCCGGGCUCAACCUGGGAAUUGCAUUUGUGACUGUACGGCUAGAGUGUGUCAGAGGGGGGUAGAAUUCCACGUGUAGCAGUGAAAUGCGUACAUACGUGGAGGAAUACCGAUGGCGAAGGCAGCCCCCUGGGAUAACACUGACGCUCAUGCACGAAAGCGUG